CGUCGUCGUCGUCGUCGUCGUCUUCCGAAGACACAUUGGUUUUCGCACUCUAACUUUAGUUUAAGUGAAUGGAUCUUUAUGAAAUUUUACCACAAGGUUCAAUACCACAAAAGGAAGGUUGGGAUUGAUUUUGGGGGUUAUGGUAAUAACAGUAAAGGAAUUAGGGGCCAAAAAUAAGCAUUUUUGUAACUUCCAGACAUAUCUUGUGUGUUAGUGUAUGGAUCUCUCUGACAUUGUACCACAAGGUUCCAUAUCACUAAAGGAAUGCUGGGAAUUGAUUUUGGGGGUAAUUGCCUCCAAAUUUUAGGAAUUAGGGGCCAAAAAAGGGGCAAAAAACAAGCAUUUUUCUAGUUUCAUGACAAUAACUUGUGUAUCAGUGUAUGGAUCUUUCUGAAAUUGUACUACAAAGUUCCAUAUCACAAAGGGAAAGCUGGGUUUGAGUUUGGGGGUAAUUGCCGUAAACGUUUAGGAAUUUGGGGCCAAAAAGGGGCCAAAAAACACAUUUUUUUCUAGUUUCCAGACAAUAACUUGUGUUCAAGUGUAUGGAUCUCUCUGAAAUUGUACUGCAAGGUACCAUACCACAAAGGGAAGGCUGGGAUUGAGUUUGGGGGUGAUGAAUCAUAAUGGGGGUUCAAAAAAUUUUGGGGGGGGAUUUAUUUUUUUUUUCCUUUUUUUUCUUUUUUUCCUUUUUUGUUUCUUUUAAAAUUUUCCAUUUUAAGUUGGUUAUUUCUGAUUUAUAUUUAAAAUCAAAUAAUAAUGAUAUGGUAGGAGAUACACACCAAACAGGAUGUGUAAAUUAUUAUAUAAUAAGUAUUGUGCAAUAGCAAGAAAUUUUCAAUUGCACAGUAUUGCACAAUAGCAAGAAAUCUUCAAUUGCACAGUAUUGCGCAAUAGCAAGAAAUCUUCAAUUGCACAGUAUUGCGCAAUAGCAAGAAAUAUCCAAUAGCACAAUAUUGCGCAAUAGCAAGAAAUUGUCAAUUGUACAGUAUUGCGCAAUAGCAAGAAAUAUUUAAUAGCACAGGAUUGUGCAAAAGAAGAUACUUCCUAUAAAUUGCUUAUUUCUUGACCAAUUUCAAUGGGGUUUUAUUCUUGAUUUCAUGGGGUUCUUUAAUAUGCUGAAUCUAACCGUGUAUUUAGUUUUUGGAUUUUGGGCCCCGUUUUUAAAUUGGUCCACAUUGAGGUCCAAAGGGUCCAAAAUUAAACUUUGUUUGAUUUCAUCAAAAAUUGAAUUAUUGGGGUUCUUUGAUAUGCCGAAUCUAACUGUGUAUUUAGAUUCUUAAAUUUUGGUUCCGUUUUCAAAUUGGUCUACAUUAAGGUCCAAAGGGUCCAAAAUUAAACUUAGUUUGAUUUUAACAAAAAUUGAAUUCUUAGGGUUCUUUGAUAUGCUGAAUCUAAACAUAUAUUUAGAUUUUUGAUUAUGGGCCCAGUUUUCAAGUUGGUCCAAAUCAGGGUCCAAAAUUAAACUUUGUUUGAUUUCAACAAAAAUUGAAUAUAUGGGGUUCUUUGAUAUGCUGAAUCUAACCAUGUAUUUAGAUUUUUUAUUUUUGGGCCCCGUUAUCAACUUUGUCCACAUUGAGGUCAAAAGGGUCCAAAAUUAAACUUUGUUUGAUUUCAUCAAAAAUUGAAUUCUUGGGGUUCUUUGAUAUGCUGAAUCUAACCAUGUAUUUAGAUUUUGGAUAUUGGACCAUAAUAGGUGAAUGUCCAAUUUAAAAUUUUUAAGUUCUUAGACCACAUUCAAUCUGUGUUAGAAACCUAUGCUGUGUCAAAUAUUUAAUCACAAUCCAAAUCCAAAGCUGUAUCAAGCUUGAAUGUUGUGUCCAUACUUCCCCCAACUGUUCAGGGUUCGACCUCUGCGGUCGUAUCAAGCUGCGCCCUGCGGAGCAUUUUAUUAUGCAAUGUACAUGUAUUUCAUUUUAAAAACUUUUACAGUGAAAAGACUUAAUACAAAUAGUAAAACAAAAUGAAUUUUCAAUAGCAGUAUCAUGGGUUUUUUCCUGACAAUUAACUGGUUUGGGAAAAUGAUGAGUAGGAAUUUUAAAUUUAAAAAAUCUAGUAUUGAUCCAUCCAUUUUUCUAAUUCUACGGGUGUUUCUCUGUCCUUAUUUUACAGGUUUCAGUCUCAUAAUCAUUUAACAUAAAAUCAAUUUCAUUUUCUUCUAGGUUGUAAUAUCUCAUAAAAAUGUAUGUACAUUCAAUUAAUUUGAUUUGAUCUGAAGAAUAAACAAAUUUUGUUCUUUUAAUUUGAUAACCAAUGAAAUUUGAAUUCAGUGAUUCAGUUAAUUAAUUGUAAGAUUUAAAUUACAUAAUUUAAAAAUAUUUUUGUUAAAAACAAAAUAUACAUACUCAUUGUUAAAAUACAUAAGCUAUAUGGGUGUUUUUAACUUGUGUAAUCAAAUGAUUAAUUUUAUACCGAAAAUAUGAAAUUAAAUUUGGUCAUAAACAUUUAAAUAUUUUGAAAAUAUUGUACAUUGAAUCAGUAGGAGCAUUUUUGUCUAGCCUUGCAGAAGUGCUGGAGGUGAGAUUUAGGCAUGCUGUUUCAGCUGGUGUUGACAGCAGCAUCAACAAUUUGUUAAAAUUUGGAAAUAGGUUAGUUGUAGGGGAACAACUAAUGGUAAGUCAAUGAUAUUUGGUUGUAUCAGCAUUAGUACAACUCAUUUUCAUGGGGAUUUUUUAGCCUGUCUAUCAUGGUCUAUUUACUUUGAAAGUUUUGCAUAGUUUGUUUUAUAAAUUUGUAAGUAUGUCAGUAAAAGGGAAAUUACUAAUGGCAAGUCAAUGAUAUUUGGUAUGCAGUUGUAUUAGCAUCGAAUUUCUAUGGAGAUUAUUUUACCCAGCUCCCUCAGUCAAAGUCUGUUGACUUUGAAAUUUUUGCACAGUUUACAUGUAAAAGUUUGAUUAGGUCAGUUUAAGGGGAACCACUGAUGAUAAGUCAAUGAUAUUUUGGUAUGCAGUUGUAUUAUCAUUGGCAUAUCUCAUGCACCCUGAGUCAAGGUUCAUAGACUUUGAAACUUUUGAUUAGUUUACAUGUUAAAGUGUUGCCACUUUUAUUUCAACAUUUGCAUUUAACUAUCAAAAUUACAUACAGGUGAGAAAUAUCUGUGCAUCAACAUUAUAUUUUAUUUUGUAUAUUUGUAAUUCAAAUAUUGUAAUAAAUUUUAAAUUAU